rnacentral:miRNA from 1 species
CUCAGAAUUUCUUGGGAACCUUGUUAAGUGGCAAAUUUGGAUUCAAUAGAUCUGGGUGGGGCACGGAUUCUGCAUUCCUUACAAGCUCCCAAGGGGUGCUGAU